rnacentral:rRNA from 1 species
GACGAACGCUGGCGGCGUGCUUAACACAUGCAAGUCGAACGAUGAAGCCCAGCUUGCUGGGUGGAUUAGUGGCGAACGGGUGAGUAACACGUGAGUAACCUGCCCUGGACUCUGGGAUAACCCCGAGAAAUCGGAGCUAAUACCGGAUAGGACCUUGGAUCGCAUGAUUCUUGGUGGAAAGUUUUUCGGUUUGGGAUGGACUCGCGGCCUAUCAGCUUGUUGGUGAGGUAAUGGCUCACCAAGGCGUCGACGGGUAGCCGGCCUGAGAGGGUAACCGGCCACACUGGGACUGGGACACGGCCCAGACUCCUACGGGAGGCAGCAGUGGUGAAUAUUGCACAAUGGGCGCAAGCCUGAUGCAGCAACGCCGCGUGCGGGAUGACGGCCUUCGGGUUGUAAACCGCUUUUAGUAAGGAAGAAGGGGCUUCGGCCUUGACGGUACUUGCAGAAAAAGGACCGGCUAACUACGUGCCAGCCGCCGCGGUAAGAC